AGAGCGAACGCUGGCGGCAGGCCUAACACAUGCAAGUCGAACGGACUCUUCGGAGUUAGUGGCGGACGGGUGAGUAACACGUGGGAACGUGCCUUUUGGUUCGGAAUAGCUCCUGGAAACGGGUGGUAAUGCCGAAUGUGCCCUUCGGGGGGAAAGAUUUAUCGCCAUUAGAGCGGCCCGCGUCUGAUUAGCUAGUUGGUGAGGUAAAGGCUCACCAAGGCUACGAUCCGUAGCUGGUCUGAGAGGAUGAUCAGCCACACUGGAACUGAGACACGGUCCAGACUCCUACGGGAGGCGGCAGUGGGGAAUAUUGGACAGUGGGCGCAAGCCUGAUCCAGCCAUACCGCGUGGGUGAAGAA
rnacentral:rRNA from 1 species